ensembl:lncRNA
CAGAAAUCGAUGGCAUCAUGUUACCUAACUACCAAUCAAGAAAUCAAGAUGCCCACAACUAGUUACUGUCCUUUGCUUCUUUGCACAAUCAACUUGUUUCUAGACUGCUGCUGCUGCUGCUGCUAAGUCGCUUCAGUCGUGUCUGACACUGUGCGACCCCAUAGACGGCAGCCCACCAGGCUCAGCCGCCCCUGGGAUUCUCCAGAUCACUCUGGGAGAAGCCAGCUGCCACAUCAUGAAGACACCCAUGGAUCCCAGGAAAGGGUCCAUGUGAGAAGACACAGAGGCCUCCCACCAACAGACAGCAUCAACUUGCCAGCCAUCAAAUGAGAUGGAGAAAUGAUCUCAACCCAUUUUUUUGGCCUCCUGACUGGAAACCUCAGAACUCGGCCCUGUAAGCUGUUAAUCAAAUAAGCACUGCAGGCUUUUGUAAAGAAUCAUGCUUUACAAAUGCUUGAAGGCAGUAUUGGGAUUAAAAUGUAGGUUUCUUUUCUGCUUUUUAAAUUGUAUUUAUUUAUUUUUGGGUGCACUGGGUCUUCGUUGCUGUGCAUAGGCUUUCUCUAGUUGCGGUGAGUGGGGGUUAAUCUCUAGUUAUGGUAAGCAGGCUUCUCACUGAGAUGGCUUCUGUUGUUGCAGAGCAUGGGCUCUAGAGCCUGAGGGCUCAGUAACUGUGGCACACAGGCUCAGUUGUCUUGCGGCAUGUGGAAACUUCCCAGACCAGGGUCAAAGCCCUGUCCCCUGUACUGGUAGGCAGACUCUUAACCACUGGACCACCAGGGAAGUCC